CAGCCGCCGCGGUAAUACGUAGGUGGCAAGCGUUGUCCGGAUUUAUUGGGCGUAAAGCGAGCGCAGGCGGUCAAUUAAGUCUGAUGUGAAAGCCCCCGGCUCAACCGGGGAGGGUCAUUGGAAACUGGUUGACUUGAGUGCAGAAGAGGAGAGUGGAAUUCCAUGUGUAGCGGUGAAAUGCGUAGAUAUAUGGAGGAACACCAGUGGCGAAGGCGACUCUCUGGUCUGUAACUGACGCUGAGGCUCGAAAGCGUGGGUAGCAAACAGGAUUAGAUACCCCCGUAGUCCCUGUCUCUUAUAC
rnacentral:rRNA from 1 species